UCCGUAGGUGAACCUGCGGAGGGAUCAUUACCGAGUUUACAACUCCCAAACCCCUGUGAACAUACCUUAAUGUUGCCUCGGCGGAUCAGCCCGCGCCCCGUAAAACGGGACGGCCCGCCAGAGGACCCAAACUCUAAUGUUUCUUAUUGUAACUUCUGAGUAAAACAAACAAAUAAAUCAAAACUUUCAACAACGGAUCUCUUGGUUCUGGCAUCGAUGAAGAACGCAGCAAAAUGCGAUAAGUAAUGUGAAUUGCAGAAUUCAGUGAAUCAUCGAAUCUUUGAACGCACAUUGCGCCCGCUGGUAUUCCGGCGGGCAUGCCUGUUCGAGCGUCAUUUCAACCCUCAAGCCCCCGGGUUUGGUGUUGGGGAUCGGCUCUGCCUUCUGGCGGCGCCGCCCCCGAAAUACAUUGGCGGUCUCGCUGCAGCCUCCAUUGCGUAGUAGCUAACACCUCGCAACUGGAACGCGGCGCGGCCAUGCCGUAAAACCCCAACUUCUGAAUGUUGACCUCGGAUCAGGUAGGAAUACCCGCUGAACUUAAGCAUAUCAAUAAGCGGAGGA
rnacentral:rRNA from 1 species